AUUAUCUUCGAAAACUUCAUAUUUAUCCGCGGAAACUUGACAUUUAUCUUUCCUUGCAAACCAAGCAUAAACCGUCAUACGGCUCAUGGGCAUUUGGUUAAGAAGUCGUAAGUGGGCUUCGAGUCAUGACUUAGGUCUCUUUGGACCGUCUUUUGACUCGAAACGUUUAUUACGGUUUCUUCGAUAAAACCGAAUUUUCCACGGUUUUUAUCGUAAAGUUUGAUUGAUGAAUUCGAAUAACGAGAACAUUAAAUGGUUCAGCUACGAUCUUCGGGAGAUAGCAUUAAAGAGUAGACGAGAAUGCAUGGAUUCGCGUCAUAUCGACGUUUUAGGAAAGCUCGAUCGCUUCGUAAUGAUCGAAAUGUGCAUGUGCUCGGUCACUACGUAUUGACCAAGCUUGGUUCCGAACUCGGUCGCUACAUAGCGACCGUGCCGUGGGUGUGCUCGGUCGCUACGUAGAGACCGAGCAGUACGCGUGCUUGGUCGCUGAGCGGUACGCGUGCUCGGUCGCUGAGCGGUACGCGUGCUCGGUUGCUACGUAGCAACCGAGCUUGACUCGAACUCGGUCGCUACGUAACGACUGAGCGGUAGACGUUCUCGGUCGCUACGUAGCGACCGAGCUUGGCUCGAGGUCGUUACGUAACGACCGAGCCAUGUGCAUGCUUGGUCUCCGCGUAUUGAUCGGGCUUGGCUUGUCCGCGGUCUGAUUAUCAUGCUCGAGCUCGUCCAUGGCCAGUCGGAUACGUGUCCGUUGUCUUGGGACAAUCUGUAUUUGGUUCGACCGAGAUUCGAAUAAGAUUUUAACGCAAGAUUACUUUUCGUAAAAACGUUCAUGCCGAUUUUGACGGACUUUCAGACAUUGAUUCCGUCAUGACCGAUUUUGACUCCAACAAUGGUGAUCUUUUUAAAGACCACAGAAAUUGGGUUAACAGAAGAUUAAUUUUCUUUUCUUUUAUAAUCCAAGUUUGAACCAUUCGUAGAUUUUAUUACUAUCCAUCACUAUCUUCCAAGAAUGUGAUCUCUUAUCUAGAAAUGUGGGUAGGCUAAGAUUAGAUUUCCUCCGUUUUUGAUAGAGCCAGUUUUGUACCAACUAAAACAAAAUCUAAAGCUUCGUAUUUAGACAUGCGGUUUUAAACUGAACGGAACCAAAUCAAAAUGUUCAGUUUUCAAUUCAUGUUUAAUCAUAGUUCUGAACUGAUUGAACAUUUUUUCAAAAUUAAUUAGAUUAUUAAUUCGGUAAUCAACUAAUUAGAUAUUUAUAAAUUUAAACUAAGCCGAUUUACCACAAUAUAUCUAACCAAACUAACCGAAUAUAACUAAAAUUACCUGAAUUUUUAAUAAAAGUUUAAAACUUCAGUUCAUUUUGAUAACAUAAUUGAACCAAACUAAACCAACCCAAACCAAACUGUAAUUUGUGUCGGUUCAGUUCAACAGUUUUUCAGUUAACCAAACUGUCCGACACAUAAGAAUCAUGAUAAUGCUUCUCGAGCCACACACUAAGAAACUAAAAAGUCACAGAACAAUACCCACCUGCAUAAUCAGCGUGUAAAGCAAAUGACUAGUGAGGGUUUGUUUGGUAUCUCGAUUGAUUCUCAUAAUCUCUCUUCUUUGCACAUCGGAGAGAAAAAUAAUUUCGGACAAGAAACAAGCAAGCCGUCGAGCAGUCCAGAUUCCAACAAUGAUUCCUGAAAGAACUAAGAAACAUAGAAGGAAAGUAUAUUUUCUUGUUAUUGCUUGCUUAACUUGUUCAAUACAUCAUACAUUUUGCUUUUAUAAUGAGCUCAUCCUAGGGGUUUACACACAGGUCACAGGCUACAGAUUGAUUCAGCGGCGCAUAAUCGUUACGGAUGAGGAUAGGCUGAGCUGUCAGUGUAGGAGAAGACUAUUGAAGAGUUGUGUGUAAGCAAGGAUUUGGGUUUCAAAGUUAAAUUGGGUCUCUCUACUUUGUCAAUAAGUUGGGCUUGUUUUUUUACUUGAGUUGGGCUUUCACUUAUAGUUAUGACGCUCCAAAGGAGUACUACGCCACCACGCCGGUGGCGAGAAAAGGUCAGUCGUCAACUCGUCACUAACCAUCACUUCUUUGCGAUUUUAUCGCUCGUGGUGAUAUGUAUAAGUUUUAGAUAUAAGUAGAAAUUAUAUAAAUGUAUGUUCAAACUUAGACUAUUUGUAAGUAUAUAAAAAUUGUUUUUGUUUUAAUAGUAAUGAUAUUUUUAUUUGUAUAAAAUAACAGAAUAGAUUUGAUAUCAAA